rnacentral:rRNA from 1 species
ACACGUAGGGGCCUGACGUUGUUCGGAAUCAUUGGGCGUAAAGGGCGCGCAGGCGGCCGUCCAAGUCCGGUGUUAAAUGGUCGGGCUCAACCCGAUCAUGCGCUGGAAACUGGGCGGCUUGAGUCCCGUAGGGGAUGCUGGAAUUCCAGGGGUAGGGGUGAAAUCUGUAGAUAUCUGGAAGAACACCGAUGGCGAAGGCAGGCAUCUGGCCGGAGACUGACGCUGAGGCGCGAAGGCGCGGGGAGCGAACAGGUUUAGAUACCCUGGUAGUCCGCGCAGUAAACGAUGCGCACCAGGUGUCGGGCGGCAGCGCCCGGUACCGGAGCUAACGCGAUGAGUGCGCCGCCUGGGGAGUAUGCCCGCAAGGGUGAAACUCAAAGGAAUCGGCGGGG